GACGAACGCUGGCGGCGUGCCUAAUACAUGCAAGUCGAACGCUUCUUUCCUCCCGAGUGCUUGCACUCAAUUGGAAAGAGGAGUGGCGGACGGGUGAGUAACACGUGGGUAACCUACCCAUCAGAGGGGGAUAACACUUGGAAACAGGUGCUAAUACCGCAUAACAGUUUAUGCCGCAUGGCAUAAGAGUGAAAGGCGCUUUCGGGUGUCGCUGAUGGAUGGACCCGCGGUGCAUUAGCUAGUUGGUGAGGUAACGGCUCACCAAGGCCACGAUGCAUAGCCGACCUGAGAGGGUGAUCGGCCACACUGGGACUGAAACACGGCCCAGACUCCUACGGGAGGCAGCAGUAGGGAAUCUUCGGCAAUGGACGAAAGUCUGACCGAGCAACGCCGCGUGAGUGAAGAAGGUUUUCGGAUCGUAAAACUCUGUUGUUAGAGAAGAACAAGGACGUUAGUAACUGAACGUCCCCUGACGGUAUCUAACCAGAAAGCCACGGCUAACUACGUG
rnacentral:rRNA from 1 species